rnacentral:rRNA from 1 species
UACAGGGGGGGCAAGCGUUGUUCGGAAUUACUGGGCGUAAAGGGUCUGUAGGUGGCCAACUAAGUCGGAUGUGAAAUCCCCAGGCUUAACCUGGGAACUGCAUCCGAUACUGGAUGGCUUGAAUCCGGGAGAGGGAUGCAGAAUUCCAGGUGUAGCGGUGAAAUGCGUAGAUAUCUGGAGGAAUACCGGUGGCGAAGGCGGCAUCCUGGACCGGCAUUGACGCUGAUGAGCGAAAGCUAGGGGAGCAAACGGG